rnacentral:lncRNA from 1 species
UUUUUUGCCCCCUUUCCUUUGCUCUAGAUCCGGAGUGUAAAAUAAAUAGGAUAAUUGCCUAUAUAUUUCUCAUACGUUUGAAAAUAUUCAAUUUAUUCCUUUUUUUUUCUUUCUAAAAUGCCCUUCGUAUAUUCCACCGUUAUUGCAAAAUACCCUGCAGUUAUCUCCUAUUAAGAAUUAGUUUGGAAUUGAGGUCUAUCUAACGCUAUUAUAUAAAAUGAAGUUAAGAAAAAACAUAUAGGGAUAUGCUUUUGCGUUCUCCGGUGGGACCGCAGAAAAUGUAUCGUAACCAACUCAUCGCGAUAUGCGGAACGCAAUAUUACGUACGGAAACAAACAGGAUAUUUUUCCAACGUAUUUUCUCACCGCAUGUAACGCAAUCUCCCCGCAAUCCCAAACGAAGCCUAAGACUUAGUUUGGUAUUGAGGCCUAUCUAACGCUAUUAGAUAAAAUGGAGUUGUGGAAAAAGGAUAUGCUUCUGCGUUCUCCGGUGGACCGUAGAAAAUAUAUCAUAACCGAAUAUGCGUACUAGGGUAUUUUCCAACGUACUUUCUCACGGCACGUAAUGCAAUCUCCCCGCAAUCCCAAACGAAGCCUAAGUUAAGUUCCGUUAAACGUAAGUUAAAUAUCUACCACAGUUAAAAAAACUUAGAAUACCAAUUUUGCCCUUAACUUAAGGACAAAUAAGAAAUGCCCUUAACUUAAGGACAAAUAAGAAAUGUUAGUGACGGUAGAGGGGUAUAUUAGAAAAGAUCAAAAGUCAAAAUACUUUUUUUGCCCCUGACUUUAAAGGCAAAUAAGAAAGUUAGUGAUGGUGGAAAGGUAUAUUUAAAAGGGCAAAAUAGUAAUUUUACAGCGAUAACAGAGUUAAUUAACCGAUUUUAAUAGGGUAUAUUAGAAAUAGAUUGGAACUUAGAAAUGGUAUUUUCAAUAUUAACCUCCUAAGAGGAGUAAAUCGAAAAAUCGAAAACUUUUCAGAAUAAUAUAAGCAAGUGCCCCAAAAUAAA